GACGAACGCUGGCGGCGUGCCUAAUACAUGCAAGUCGAGCGAAAGGACGAGAAGCUUGCUUCUCUGAUGUUAGCGGCGGACGUGUGAGUAACACGUGGAUAACUUAACUAUAAGACUGGGCUAACUUCGGGAAACCGGUACUAAUACCGGAUACUAUUUUGAACCGCAUGGUUCAAAAGUGUAAGAUGGUGUUGCUGUCACUUAUCGAUGGAUCCGUGCUGCAUUAGCUAGUUGGUAAGGUAACAGCUUACCAAGGCAACGAUGCAUAGCCGACCUGAGAGGGGGAUGGGCCACAGUGAGACUGGUACGCGGUCCAGACUCCGACGGGAGGCAGCGAUAGCUAAGCUUCCGCGAUGGGCGAAAGCCUGACGGAGCGGCGCCGCGUGGAUGAUGAGGGUCUUCGGAGCGUAAGACUCUGUUAGUAUGGAAGAACAUAUGUGUAAGUGACGAUGCGCAUCGUGACGGUACCUGAUCAGAAAGCCACGGCUAACUACGUG
rnacentral:rRNA from 1 species